GAUGAACGCUGGCGGCGUGCCUAACACAUGCAAGUCGAGCGAAGCGCUUAAAUUAGAUUUCUUCGGAAUGACGAUUUUUGUGACUGAGCGGCGGACGGGUGAGUAACGCGUGGGUAACCUGCCUCAUACAGGGGGAUAACAGUUAGAAAUGACUGCUAAUACCGCAUAAGACCCCAGCUUCGCAUGAAGCGGUGGUAAAAAUUCCGGUGGUAUGAGAUGGACCGGCGUCUGAUUAGCUAGUUGGUAAGGUAACGGCUUACCAAGGCGACGAUCAGUAGCCGACCUGAGAGGGUGACCGGCCACAUUGGGACUGAGACACGGCCCAGACUCCUACGGGAGGCAGCAGUGGGGAAUAUUGCACAAUGGGGGAAACCCUGAUGCAGCGACGCCGCGUGAAGGAUGAAGUAUUUCGGUAUGUAAACUUCUAUCAGCAGGGAAGAAAGUGACGGUACCUGACGAAGAAGCCCCGGCUAACUACGUG
rnacentral:rRNA from 1 species